CAGCCGAGCGGUAGAGAUUCUUCGGAAUCUUGAGAGCGGCGCACGGGUGCGGAACACGUGUGCAACCUGCCUUUAUCAGGGGAAUAGCCUUUCGAAAGGAAGAUUAAUGCCCCAUAAUAUAUUUUCUGGCAUCAGAAGAUAUUGAAAACUCCGGUGGAUAAAGAUGGGCACGCGCAGGAUUAGAUAGUUGGUAGGGUAACGGCCUACCAAGUCAACGAUCCUUAGGGGGCCUGAGAGGGUGAUCCCCCACACUGGUACUGAGACACGGACCAGACUCCUACGGGAGGCAGCAGUGAGGAAUAUUGGACAAUGGGUGAGAGCCUGAUCCAGCCAUCCCGCGUGAAGGACGACGGCCCUAUGGGUUGUAAACUUCUUUUGUACAGGGAUAAACCUUUCCACGUGUGGGAAGCUGAAGGUACUGUACGAAUAAGCACCGGCUAACUCCGUGCCAGCAGCCGCGGUAAUACGGAGGGUGCAAGCGUUAUCCGGAUUUAUUGGGUUUAAAGGGUCCGUAGGCGGACUCGUAAGUCAGUGGUGAAAUCUCACAGCUUAACUGUGAAACUGCCAUUGAUACUGCGGGUCUUGAGUGUUGUUGAAGUAGCUGGAAUAAGUAGUGUAGCGGUGAAAUGCAUAGAUAUUACUUAGAACACCAAUUGCGAAGGCAGGUUACUAAGCAACAACUGACGCUGAUGGACGAAAGCGUGGGGAGCGAACAGGAUUAGAUACCCUGGUAGUCCACGCCGUAAACGAUGCUAACUCGUUUUUGGUUUUUCGGAAUCAGAGACUAAGCGAAAGUGAUAAGUUAGCCACCUGGGGAGUACGUUCGCAAGAAUGAAACUCAAAGGAAUUGACGGGGGCCCGCACAAGCGGUGGAUUAUGUGGUUUAAUUCGAUGAUACGCGAGGAACCUUACCAAGGCUUAAAUGGGAAUUGAUGGGUUUAGAAAUAGACCGUCCUUCGGGCAAUUUUCAAGGUGCUGCAUGGUUGUCGUCAGCUCGUGCCGUGAGGUGUUAGGUUAAGUCCUGCAACGAGCGCAACCCCUGUCACUAGUUGCCAUCAUUCAGUUGGGGACUCUAGUGAGACUGCCUACGCAAGUAAAAA
rnacentral:rRNA from 1 species